GGCUUAUCAUUCUUAUACAUUGAAGCAGUCAAGUUUCAUCGUAGUGAUGUACUUGUCAGGAAAUGAACAAAACUCUUCAAUCUCUUUGCCUGCAUGUGGCUAAUUUAUACUACCAGACUUACUUGGGAUCCAUUGAGAAAUUGCUCCAUCAAGCUGGACAUAGGCAAUUUGACAGUUGUAAACUUCAAAUGAAUUUCUGUUCCUCCACAGUUAAGCCUGUAAAGACCGCUUGGAUCAGCU
rnacentral:misc_RNA from 1 species